UGAGGAAUAUUCCACAAUGGGCGAAAGCCUGAUGGAGCAAUGCCGCGUGCAGGAUGAAGGCCCUCGGGUUGUAAACUGCUUUUAUAUGAGAAGACUAUGACGGUAACAUAUGAAUAAGGACCGGCUAACUACGUGCCAGCAGCCGCGGUCAUACGUAGGGUCCAAGCGUUAUCCGGAGUGACUGGGCGUAAAGAGUUGCGUAGGCUGUUAAGUAAGCGAGUGAUGAAAACUAUCGGCUCAACCGGUAGCC
rnacentral:rRNA from 1 species